rnacentral:rRNA from 1 species
AUGGAGAAGAAGAGGGUGGCCAUCGUCGGAGCCGGCGUGAGCGGGCUGACGGCGUGCAAGCACCUGCUGGAGCGCGGCUGCCGUCCGGCCGUCUUCGAGGCGGACAAGCUCCUGGGCGGCGUGUGGGCGCGCGCCCCGGACUGCACUUCGCUGCAGUCGGAGCGGCCCAUGUAUCAGUUCUCCGACUUCCCGUGGCCGGAGUCCGUGACGGAGGUCUUCCCGGACCGCCGCCAGGUCGCCGACUACCUCGACGCCUAUGCCCGCCACUUUGGCGUGCUCGACUGCGUCAGGUUCGGGCACCGGGUGGUCGGGAUGGAGUAUGUGGGUGUUGGCAAGGAGGAGGUGGUGGCAUGGGAGGAGUGGGCCGGGUGCGGCGAGGCGUUUGGUUCUGGCGAAGGUGAGUGGCGUCUCACAGUGGUCGACGCCGAGGGCAACAUCGAGACACACGUGGCAGACUUUGUGGUUCUUUGCAUUGGGAGGUUUAGUGGUGUGCCCAACAUACCCACUUUCCCUCCGGGCAAAGGUCCAGAAGCAUUUGAUGGGCAGGUGAUCCACACCAUGGAUUACGCCAAAAUGGGCACCAAGAAAGCUACCGAGAUGUUAAAGGGCAAGCGUGUGACUGUCAUUGGCUACUUGAAAUCAGCUCUCGACGUAGCUGCUGAAUGUGCAGACGUAAAUGGUAUUGAACAUCCAUGUACAAUGGUAGUCCGAACAAAGCAUUGGAUCAUACCAAGCUACUAUGCUUGGGGUUUCCCUAUAGCAAACUUAUAUCUAAAUCGCUUCUCUGAAUUACUUAUCCACAAGCCUGGUGAGGGCUUCCUACUAUGCCUCUUGGCCAUCAUCUUGACUCCCCUGAGGUGGUUAUUCUCAAAGUUUGCUGAGAGCUACUACUCCAUCCCCAUGAAGAAGCAUGACAUGGUGCCUGAGCAUAGCUUCUUUGAGGCACUAGCGACAUGCUUGAUUGCCAUUACACCAAAGGACCACUACAAGAGACUAGACGAAGGCAGCAUUGUUCUGAAGAAGUCCAAGACCUUUAGCUUCUGCAAGGAAGGUGUAGUUGUUGAAGGUGAAUCUUCGCCGAUAAAGAGCGAUAUAGUGAUCUUCGGAACGGGAUUCAAGGGAGACCAAAAUAUCACGAACAUGUUUACUUCAGAAUACUUUCAGAGUAUUGCAGUUGGGCCAACAUCCUCGACGGUACCUCUCUACAGGGAGUGCAUACAUCCUAAGAUUCCGCAGCUCGCGGUCCUCGGUUAUUCAGAGAGUCUAGCGAAUCUGUACACUGCAGAAAUUCGGGCCAAAUGGCUGGCGCAUUUCAUUGAUGGUGGAUUCAAAUUACCAAGUGUGAAAGCAAUGCAGAGUGAUAUCCUUGAAUGGGAGAAGUUCAUGAAGCGCUAUUCCCGUGUCUACUUCAGGAGGUCCUGUAUUGGGCUACUUCACAUCUGGUACAAUGAUCAACUAUGUCAGGACAUGGGAUGCAACCCGAGAAGGAAGAAUAGCAUUUUAGCUGAAUUAUUUGAGGUAUAUGGUCCCCGUGAUUAUGUUAAUCUUCACCCCAAGUAA